GGAGUCUGGUCCGUGUCUCAGUACCAGUGUGGGGGAUAAGCCUCUCAGCUCCCCUAGACAUCGUCGGCUUGGUGGGCCGUUGCCCCGCCAACUACCUAAUGCCACGCAUGCCCAUCCGUAACCACCAAGGCUUUCGCCGCCUGACCAUCCGCGGCCAAACGGCUAUAUGGGGUAUUAGUGGAAAUUUCUCUCCGUUAUCCCCCUGUUACGGGCAGGUUGCAUACGCGUUACGCACCCGUGCGCCGGUCGCCAUCACAGAUAGCAAGCUACCUGCAUGCUGCCCCUCGACUUGCAUGUGUUAAGCCUGUAGCUAGCGUUCAUC
rnacentral:rRNA from 1 species